rnacentral:rRNA from 3 species
GGCCAAGUUAUUAAGGGCGCACGGUGGAUGCCUUGGCACCAGGAGCCGAUGAAGGACGUGGGAGGCUGCGAUAUGCCUCGGGGAGCUGCCAACCGAGCUGUGAUCCGAGGAUUUCCGAAUGGGGAAACCCGG